rnacentral:rRNA from 1 species
AUUAGAGACCGGCGCACGGGUGCGUAACGCGUAUGCAAUCUACCUUUUACAGAGGGAUAGCCCAGAGAAAUUUGGAUUAAUACCUCAUAGUAUAAUGACUUGGCAUCAAGACAUUAUUAAAGUCACAACGGUAAAAGAUGAGCAUGCGUCCCAUUAGCUAGUUGGUAAGGUAACGGCUUACCAAGGCUACGAUGGGUAGGGGUCCUGAGAGGGAGAUCCCCCACACUGGUACUGAGACACGGACCAGACUCCUACGGGAGGCAGCAGUGAGGAAUAUUGGACAAUGGGCGCAAGCCUGAUCCAGCCAUGCCGCGUGCAGGAUGACGGUCCUAUGGAUUGUAAACUGCUUUUAUACGAGAAGAAACACUACUUCGUGAAGUAGCUUGACGGUAUCGUAAGAAUAAGGAUCGGCUAACUCCGUGCCAGCAGCCGCGGUAAUACGGAGGAUCCAAGCGUUAUCCGGAAUCAUUGGGUUUAAAGGGUCCGUAGGCGGUUUAGUAAGUCAGUGGUGAAAGCCCAUCGCUCAACGGUGGAACGGCCAUUGAUACUGCUGAACUUGAAUUAUUAGGAAGUAACUAGAAUAUGUAGUGUAGCGGUGAAAUGCUUAGAGAUUACAUGGAAUACCAAUUGCGAAGGCAGGUUACUACUAAUUGAUUGACGCUGAUGGACGAAAGCGUGGGUAGCGAACAGGAUUAGAUACCCUGGUAGUCCACGCCGUAAACGAUGGAUACUAGCUGUUGGGAGCAAUCUCAGUGGCUAAGCGAAAGUGAUAAGUAUCCCACCUGGGGAGUACGUUCGCAAGAAUGAAACUCAAAGGAAUUGACGGGGGCCCGCACAAGCGGUGGAGCAUGUGGUUUAAUUCGAUGAUACGCGAGGAACCUUACCA